rnacentral:lncRNA from 1 species
GAGCAAUUAACAAGCAAUAAUUUGUUCUUGGUCUUUGUUUGAGGAAUUGUUUUUUAGUGAUUUUAGUAAAAAGAAGAGUUUAGGAAUUUGUUUGGAUUUUUUUAGAAAUUUUCUUGGAAUUUUUGGGCUUUGUGCUUCCUGACGGUUUUAUUUGAAUUAUUCAACAAGUAAACGAAGGUUGGAAGAAUUUGAGGCAAUCGAAUUCUAAGUUUCAUGGUAGUUUUUGAAAAGUUUGAAUUUUUUAACAAUCGAUUAAAUUUUUUGGUAUCAGAUUUUUGGAAUUUUUAGUUGAAUUUUGGGGUGGUUGAAUUUUUAGAAAAAAGACAGAGAAAAGAAAAUAAAGGAAUGAAGGUGAAAGAAGAAUUAAAAAAUAAUAAAACUUUGGCUUUUAUACAAAAGCAAAGCAACAUCGUUUUGGGAGGCUUAGAUCUGCUCCUUGACCUGCAUGCUAACUCAGCUCCUGACCCAACCUAAUUGCCAAAUUUUCUUUUUCUUUUUUGUGAUUUUUUU